rnacentral:rRNA from 1 species
GAGUUUGAUCAUGGCUCAGGACGAACGCUGGCGGUGUGCUUAAUACAUGCAAGUCGAACGGGCCCUUCGGGGCUAGUGGCGGACGGCUGAGUAACACGUAGGUAACGUACCCUAUACUGGGGGAUAACAGAGGGAAACUUCUGCUAAUACCGCAUAAGUCAUAGGCUGAAAUGUUUAUGAUUAAAGAUUUAUUGGUAUAGGAUCGGCCUGCGCCUGAUUAGCUAGUUGGUAGGGUAAAGGCCUACCAAGGCAAUGAUCAGUAGUUGGUCUGAGAGGAUGACCAGCCAGAGUGGGACUGAGAACGGCCCACACUUCUACGGAAGGCAGCAGUAGGGAAUUUUGCGCAAUGGGCGAAAGCCUGACGCAGCAACACCGCGUGGAGGAUGAAGGUUCUCGGAUUGUAAACUCCCGUCGGCAGGGAAUAAAAAUGACUGUACCUGCAGAGGAAGCACCGGCUAACUACGUGCCAGCAGCCGCGGU